rnacentral:lncRNA from 1 species
AAACUUCCAAUAUCAUUCCUACAGUUUCGUAUUUUUUAUUUUAAUAUUUUAUAAUUUAAAGUAUAUUAAUUUAGUAUACUGUAAUUUUAUUUUUUCUGUUCGUCGGUCCAUUCGUUAAUUUUUUAUUAAAUCAUACAUAAAAAACUUCAGAUACCCUACCUAUAGUUUAUGGAACAUUCGUUUUAGUAUUAUUUAGUUUUAACUUUGUCACUUAUUUAACGAAAAAAAUUAGUGAAAUGAAUAAUCAAAAGAGAAAAAUGAAACCACAUGGUACGAAAAUGAUACACUUUAAACUCUAUAGUAUUAAAAUAAAAAAGUGUGAAAAUAUAGAGAUGGCAUUUCAAGUUUUUCUAAGAUUAAAA